UGGAAUGGGUUAGAAGGAGGUGUCUGAGGGAGUCCACAGGAGGGAAAAAAGCCAGGUAUGGCACCAGGAUCUGCAUAGGCCCAUGAAAACGAGGACAGAGAGGGAAGAGAGGCUAAGGCAGAAAACUCGGCAGAUUUGCAAAAGCUGAUAAUUCAAAGACGAACUAUUUAUUACAACUCACACAAAUGUGGAAGGAAGAAAUGGAAACAAGCAGAGAAUCUUCAUCAAGAUUGAAUGAAAAGGAGGCUAUCUUCAAAUUUUUCACAGAAGUCACACCUAGAGAGGCAAAGUAAGCAUAUGAUGCACCUUCAUAGAAGAGCUUUCGUUUGUGAUAAAGUGAUUCAACAUUUGGUAUUAUGUGCAACCUACUGUGUUUAGCAAAAUUAUGCCCCUUUUACUUUA